UGGGGAAUAUUGGACAAUGGGCGCAAGCCUGAUCCAGCCAUGCCGCGUGAGUGAUGAAGGCCCUAGGGUUGUAAAGCUCUUUCACCGGUGAAGAUAAUGACGGUAACCGGAGAAGAAGCCCCGGCUAACUUCGUGCCAGCAGCCGCGGUAAUACGUAUGGAGCGAGCGUUGUCCGGAAUUAUUGGGCGUAAAGGGUACGCAGGCGGUUUAAUAAGUCGAAUGUUAAAGAUCGGGGCUCAACCCCGUAAAGCAUUGGAAACUGAUAAACUUGAGUAGUGGAGAGGAAAGUGGAAUUCCUAGUGUAGUGGUGAAAUACGUAGAUAUUAGGAGGAAUACCAGUAGCGAAGGCGACUUUCUGGACACAAACUGACGCUGAGGUACGAAAGCGUGGGGAGCAAACAGG
rnacentral:rRNA from 1 species